rnacentral:tRNA from 1 species
AAUGAAGUGCCUGACAAAAGGAUUAUCGUGAUAGGGUAAAUAAUGUACCAAAAAUACCUUCAUUA